UGGGGGAUAUUGCACAAUGGGCGAAAGCCUGAUGCAGCGACGCCGCGUGGGGGAUGAAGGCCUUCGGGUUGUAAACUUCUUUUGCUCUGAACAAGGCAUGCUAAUGGGUGUGUUGAGUGUAGGGGUUGAUUAGCGCCGGCUAACUACGUGCCAGCAGCCGCGGUAAUACGUAGGGCGCGAGCGUUGUCCGGAAUUAUUGGGCGUAAAGGGCUUGUAGGUGGCUGGUUGCGUCUGUCGUGAAAGCUCAUGGCUUAACUGUGGGUUUGCGGUGGGUACGGGCUGGCUUGAGUGCAGUAGGGGAGGCUGGAAUUCCUGGUGUAGCGGUGGAAUGCGCAGAUAUCAGGAGGAAUACCGGUGGCGAAGGCGGGUCUCUGUGCUGUUACUGACACUGAGGAGCGAAAGCAUGGGGAGCGAACAGG
rnacentral:rRNA from 1 species